rnacentral:rRNA from 1 species
GGGGAAAACAACAGGGAUUGCCCCAGUAACGGCGAGUGAAGCGGCAACAGCUCAAAUUUGAAAUCUGGCGCAAGCCCGAGUUGUAAUUUGCAGAGGAAGCUUCUGGCGCGGCGCCUUCCGAGUUCCCUGGAACGGGACGCCACAGAGGGUGAGAGCCCCGUACGGUCGCGCGCUAAGCCUGUGUGAAGCUCCUUCGACGAGUCGAGUAGUUUGGGAAUGCUGCUCUAAAUGGGAGGUGUACGUCUUCUAAAGCUAAAUACCGGCCAGAGACCGAUAGCGCACAAGUAGAGUGAUCGAAAGAUGAAAAGCACUUUGAAAAGAGGGUUAAACAGUACGUGAAAUUGUUGAAAGGGAAGCGGUCACGACCAGACUUGGACCUGCUAAUCAUCCGGCGUUCUCGCCGGUGCACUUGGCAGGCUCAGGCCAGCAUCAGUUUGCCCCGGGGGAUAAAGGCGCCGGGAAUGUGGCUCCCACGGGAGUGUUAUAGCCCGGCGUGCAAUACCCUGAGGUGGACUGAGGUACGCGCUCCGCAAGGAUGCUGGCGUAAUGGUCGUCACCGACCCGUCUUGAAACACGGACCAAGGAGUCGUCUUCGUAUGCGAGUGUUCGGGUGUCAAACCCCUGCGCGUAAUGAAAGUGAACGUAGGUGGGAGCUUCGGCGCACCACCGACCGAUCCUGAUGUUCUCGGAUGGAUUUGAGUAAGAGCAUACGGGGCCGGACCCGAAAGAAGGUGAACUAUGCCUGGAUAGGGUGAAGCCAGAGGAAACUCUGGUGGAGGCUCGCAGCGGUUCUGACGUGCAAAUCGAUCGUCAAAUUUGGGCAUGGGGGCGAAAGACUAAUCGAACCUUCUAGUAGCUGGUUUCCGCCGAAGUUUCCCCUCAGGAAAAGAAACCGGGUAAAA